GACUCGUAACUGGCAAUAUCGCAGGACUUAUGUUUUAUUGGUGGCUGAAGAUGAUGCUUCCUUGGUCAAGCAAAUUGGCCAGAGUUUCCGGUAUUCUAAAAUAGAGGCAAGAAGGGAGGAACAAAUCUAAGCUGCUCAUGACGAAGCCAUGUUUGGUGCUUCAGCACUUCCACCUCCUACCAGUACUGACAGUGAGCCUGAAAGGGAGAAUGAGAAAGUUGAUAAAAAAGAUGUUGUUAC